rnacentral:rRNA from 1 species
AUGUAUCCGCCUCCCCACUCCUUCUGCAGUACGGACCCUAACGCCGCCAUGUCCGACACUGAACACGACAUGGCGGUACUUUUUACAAACCACAAUCGUGUUCUCAAGGUGGCUCGGGACACCAACCCGCACCCUGACGCUCUGGGACGCCUCCAGCAGGUGCUGCUGGGCGCUGUGCUGCGUUGUCUCUCCGAUGACACAGAUUCGUUCAGAAGGAGGAUGGACGACUUCCUUGUCAAAUUCAGCAACCUCACCAGGAAGAUGGACGACAUCAGCGCGCGCCUCCAGGCCACGCGCAGCCCUAAAGCCCGCCGCCGCGGCAUCUCCCCCGCUGCCCAGCUCGUUGGCCUUUAUGGAGAUGAUCUCUUCCGCGCGCUGAUGGGCAUGCAGCUGCCCGUGGCCACACCUGCGGAGGUCUGCCUGGAGGUCGCCCUCGCUGCACAGCGCCUCAUCGUGCAUGACCAGCUCGACUUUUUCAUCAACCUCUGUGAGAAGACUGUCUUCGGGGCCGACACUACGACGAUCAGGGAGUACAACAUCAUGGCCUUCAAGGACCACAGGAAAACAUUGGAGAAGUUCGUUCAAGAGCACAUUGACCUCGCCAAUGCCGCUGCCACUUCACAUCCACCUACCGGCCGAGCAGAAUAA